CGAACGUGGCCGAUGCGCAUCAAAGUGUAGUAUCUGUUCUUAUCAGCUUAAUAUCUGGUAGGGGUUUUAUUUGAACCCAAGAUAUUAAACAUAUUUUAAAAGGUUGCCGGAGUGCAUGAAUCCCGCUUCACCUCCAUCGCGGAUCGGCCUGCCAUUCGACUAUCUUCGCGAUUGGCUCACCGUUU